CCGCCGAAGUCCCGAGCGGCUUCGAGACAAGGAAGAGAAGCCACGCGACUCACUUCAGCCAGUCAGUCAGUGGUCAGUGGCGUCAGCUUCGUUGUCAUGUACGAGCGAUUCUUCUGUGUUUUCUUGGACUCUUAUUUAGGCUCUAGGUGAACCAAAACUCUCCCAUAGCUUGUCUUCAGUGGUCAGCAGCUGUGACACAAGGAGCAGCUCUCUCAGCGACGGGUCGGGGAGCGGUGGACGGCGGAUGAAUACUUCGACUCCCUCGCCUUCUUCCGCAUCAUGUCCGACCCGCCGAUCCUGGUGGUGGGCGGCGUGCGUCAGAGGAGUUGAAAAAUGUGAGAGAAGACACAGUAUGUUGAGGGAAGGCAGCUGCACUAGUGACAGCAGCAGCAGAGCCCCCACCACUGCUGCUGCUCCUCUCCUCUUCCCAGCACAGCAGCACACAGGACACAUUUCCAUCAUCUUUAAAUCCCGAACACUUGUGCCUUGGUGAUAAUCUCACAGCAGCAAACCCUACAUUGCUCAGGUCAACUUCCAGCUAGAAUCAUAUCUGGAGUUAUUU